CUGGAGCUGUCAAAGGGCCUGCUUGUGCCUAGCCAAUAAGGAGAGACCAAGCGGUGUUUCCUGAGUGCCUAGCAACAGGCGCUGUCAGAGGUCCUGAUCGUGCCUAGCCAAUGAGAGACGAGAAUGAAAUGUCAGCGGCCAAUGGAUCAGAAUGCGUGGGUGCCGAGAGGGUAUCUGGCCCCGGAACAGGGACUUCUAACAGGGUUUGAGCUUGCCUGGUUCUAGUCAUCUUCCUCUCCUCACUCGCGGUGCUGCACAGUGCUCCCAAAACGACGUAUUUUCGGGGAAAGGCCCCUCGGUUCCUUUGGUGGGUAAGCGUAGGGACUCCCAUCCUUUCCUUCCGUUGAAAGGCCCAUCGGUCCCUUUGGCAAAUAAGCAUUGGGAUCUCCAGUCUUUGCCCAUCUAGUUAGGAAGGUUGUUUUUUGUUUGUUUUUUGUUUGUUUUGUUUUUGGUUUGCCAGGAGGGCUGACCAGGAGGCUCCCGAACGCUGUCCCCUCGUCCAGAGACACCGUGUGGGCACACGGCUGUGGCCUAAAGAACCACACAAGUUCCCCACUAAUCACCAGACAUAAGGCUCCAAUACAGUUUCCCACCCCUGUUGACUGUUGAUCGCCAGUUGCCCCUCUCAGAGGGUUGCUGACAGGCAGGGAGGAAUGAUCUGUCAUCUGUGGGAUGACAGGGAGAAGUGAACUGUGGGGCGGCCUGGGAGAUGAGGGCCUGGAGGCCCUGCUGGCCGGGCCUGAGGUGUGAGCUGUCACUGGUAUGAACUCCCUGCUUGAUUGGGGUCUCAGGGUGCUGUCUGAGCCUCAGGAGUUGGUGACACUCCUAGGCUUCCCUAGCCUGAUGUGCAACUAGGCCGCAGUGAAGGCUGUGGGCCCCUCUGGACCUCCGCUGGACUGUGCCUCUCAUCUGAGCCGCCUGCUUCCUCCGGGGCUUCUGUCCUUCCAGGUGGUCCCUAUAGGUCUGUGGCCCUGCGCAGCUGAUCCCACCGACAUCACAGUAAGGAAGGCCUGGAGGGCAGCCGGGGGCUGCCUUGGGCUUCUGCAGCCUGUCCAGGAAUGUCAGCAUUUCGCUGGUAAAGCGGGAGUCCCAGGGCCUGAGGUCUGUGCCACCCCCCAAGGGUCCGAGCCCACCAGAGCCGUCAGGAAUGCCUGCAGCUUCUGUGGGUCUCGCUGGAAGUGGGAGCUUGGGACUGGCCCACAGAGCAAGGCGGCAGCUGGCUGUUCCGGUGUGUCACAGUCCUGAUCCCCUUUCACUCUCGGCAGCUGAUGGGUGGAUGCAGCAGUGGCCACCGCUUCAUGCUGCUCCUGUCAGUGUAUGCCCUCAGCUACCUGGGGCUGAUCUUCAGUUGGGUGCUGCUGGCGCUUGGGUUUCUCACCUGGUGCCGCAGCCCGUGCUGUGUGCCAACGCUGUUGGAGGACAAGGAGCAAACUGUGUGACUGAGGGUGCGCACCUGCAAUCUGGCCACCUGGGUUCAUUUUCCAGACACUGAAAGAGAAAAAAUGGCUAAAUAAGAUGGGAAAGCACAUGGGGCUCUUUAUUUAUCAAUUUAUAGAGAAGCUCUUUCGAGAAACCAAAGAACAAG